UAUUUCAUUUUUUCAUUCAUCUGGUGCUG
rnacentral:piRNA from 1 species